AGUGAACGCUGGCGGUAGGCCUAACACAUGCAAGUCGAACGGCAGCACAGUAAGAGCUUGCUCUUACGGGUGGCGAGUGGCGGACGGGUGAGGAAUACAUCGGAAUCUACUUUUUCGUGGGUGAUAACGUAGGGAAACUUACGCUAAUACCGCAUACGACCUACGGGUGAAAGCAUGGGAUCUUCGGACCUUGCGCGAUUGAAUGAGCCGAUGUCGGAUUAGCUAGUUGGCGGGGUAAAGGCCCACCAAGGCGACGAUCCGUAGCUGGUCUGAGAGGAUGAUCAGCCACACUGGAACUGAGACACGGUCCAGACUCCUACGGGAGGCAGCAGUGGGGAAUAUUGGACAAUGGGCGCAAGCCUGAUCCAGCCAUACCGCGUGGGUGAAGAAGGCCUUCGGGUUGUAAAGCCCUUUUGUUGGGAAAGAAAAGCAGCAGGUUAAUACCCCGCUGUUCUGACGGUACCCAAAGAAUAAGCACCGGCUAACUUCGUG
rnacentral:rRNA from 1 species